UAGGGAAUAUUGCACAAUGGGCGCAAGCCUGAUGCAGCAACGCCGCGUGCGCGAUGAAGGUCUUCGGAUCGUAAAGCGCUUUUCGGGGAGAUGAGGAAGGACAGUAUCCCCGGAAUAAGUCUCGGCUAACUACGUGCCAGCAGCCGCGGUAAAACGUAGGAGGCAAGCGUUAUCCGAAUUUACUGGGCGUAAAGCGCGUGCAGGCGGUUCGGUAAGUUGGAUGUGAAAUCUCCCGGCUCAACUGGGAGAGGUCGUUCAAGACUGUCGGACUGGAGGACGGUAGAGGGAGGUGGAAUUCCCGGUGUAGUGGUGAAAUGCGUAGAUAUCGGGAGGAACACCUGUGGCGAAAGCGACCUCCUGGACCGUUCCUGACGCUCAGACGCGAAAGCUAGGGGAGCGAACGGGAUUAGAAACCCCGGUAGUCCUAGCCGUAAACGAUGUGAAUUGGGUGUCGGCGGGUAAACUCCAUCGGUGCCGCAGCUAACGCGAUAAGUUCACCGCCUGGGGACUACGGCCG
rnacentral:rRNA from 1 species